rnacentral:rRNA from 1 species
AGUGAACGCUGGCGGUAGGCCUAACAUAUGCAAGUCGAACGGCAGCACAGUAAGAGCUUGCUCUUACGGGUGGCGAGUGGCGGACGGGUGAGGAAUACAUCGGAAUCUACUUUUUCGUGGGGGAUAACGUAGGGAAACUUACGCUAAUACCGCAUACGACCUACGGGUGAAAGCAGGGGAUCUUCGGACCUUGCGCGAUUGAAUGAGCCGAUGUCGGAUUAGCUAGUUGGCGGGGUAAAGGCCCACCAAGGCGACGAUCCGUAGCUGGUCUGAGAGGAUGAUGAGCCACACUGGAACUGAGACACGGUCCAGACUCCUACGGGAGGCAGCGGUGGGGAAUAUUGGACAAUGGGCGGAAGCCUGAUCCAGCCAUACCGCGUGGGUGAAGAAGGCCUUCGGGUUGUAAAGCCCUUUUGUUGGGGAAGAAAAGCAGCAGGUUAAUACCCCGCUGUUCUGACGGUACCCAAAGAAUAAGCACCGGCUAACUUCGUG